rnacentral:rRNA from 1 species
AUUGAACGCUGGCGGCAUGCUUUACACAUGCAAGUCGAACGGUAACAGGCCGCAAGGUGCUGACGAGUGGCGAACGGGUGAGUAAUGCAUCGGAACGUGCCCAGUCGUGGGGGAUAACGCAGCGAAAGCUGUGCUAAUACCGCAUACGAUCUGUGGAUGAAAGCGGGGGACCGAAAGGCCUCGCGCGAUUGGAGCGGCCGAUGUCAGAUUAGGGAGUUGGUGGGGUAAAGGUUCACAAAGCCAACGAGCGAUAGCUGGUCUGAGAGGACGACCAGCCACACUGGGACUGAGACACGGCCCAGACUCCGACGGGAGGCAGCAGUGGGGAAUUUUGGACAAUGGGCGCAAGCCUGAUCCAGCAAUGCCGCGUGCAGGAAGAAGGCCUUCGGGUUGUAAACUGCUUUUGUACGGAGCGAAAAGGCUCUCUCUAAUACAGGGGGCUCAUGACGGUACCGUAAGAAUAAGCACCGGCUAACUACGUGCCAGCCGCCGCGGUAAUAC